AGAUUCUCUUUGAGAAAGUUUCUGCAAUGUCGGAGAAGAAAGGGUGCACUCCCGCACAACUAGCCCUUGCAUGGGUUCAUCACCAGGGAGAUGAUGUUUGCCCCAUCCCAGGAACCACUAAGAUUGAAAACCUUAACCAGAACAUUGGAGCUUUAUCAGUGAAACUUACUCCCGAAGAGAUGUCUGAGCUCGAGUCCCUUGCCCAACCAGAGUCUGUGAAAGGAGAAAGAUCCAUUAGCAUCCUGACCACGUUCAAGAACUCUGAGACUCCACCAUUAUCUUCUUGGAAAGCCGCUUAAAAUUGUCCGAGUUUCUCUGGUUGUUGUGGGGUUCAUGACACUGAAGUGGUCUAACUUAUAUCAGCCAGAUCAAGGUAAUAAAUGUGUUAAUGCCUUGAAGAAUAAAUAAUUUAUAGAGUUCCCCAGGUGAAAACUUCAAUUUACAUUUCAUACAUUGUAACCAAACUCUAUAAACAAAUAUAUGUUCUGAUACAAACUUAAAUAACGUUUACACCAAAAAUCUUACCAAGCUAUCUAUAUCGUCACCCAACUCUAUGAAGGAUAUGUGCGAUGAAAAUGUCUCGGUUCCAUCUCUUUUGUUCUUGUUUUUUUCUUCUGCAUUUCCCCCACUUCUCCUUUUUGAUUUUCAUAAUUAGUUUUGCAGAUAAAGAUUUCCAUAAUAUUCAACAAAAAAGUAUAAUUUUCAUAAAGCUAAGAAAAAGUAUUUAUUUAAAAAAUUAACUCACAGGUCAUUAGAUUUACUUCAAUUUAAUAGAGAGGUAAAGUGUUUAACUUAGACUCCGAUGAGUAACAUUAAUUACAUAAUUGCAUAAAAUUAUCACAUAAAUUGCAAAUUGAAAACUCGCAGAAAUUGUAGAAUGAAAAUUUGUGCUGAUUCAAUACAUUUGUAUACCCAUUUACUAGAUUUUAACCCGCGGUACACCGCGGGAUGAUUUAAUUUUAAAGUUAGUAUAAAAAUAUUUUGUAAAUUGUAUCUCCUUAUAACAUAUUUAUUUAUAUUAUAGUUUACAAUUGUUAUUAAGUAACGGUAUACCACGAGUCCACGAGAUAAUUAUUAAUGAACUGAGGAUUUAACCCGUAUUAAAGCGGUAUAUAAAUAUUGAUUCAAAUUCGUCCGCCAUAUAAAUCAUUUCCGAAAUAUAACCCGUUCCGUAAUUUCUUAACCCGUCCUGUGAUUUGUAUUAAAAAAAAUAAGGAUUAAAUCCGUAUUGAAGCGGCGGAUUAAUGAUAUUUUAAUCUUUUUAUUAUUGUUGAUUCAAAAACCCGUCCCGCCAAACCCAUCCCGCCAAAAAACUCAUUUAUUUUAUUAAUGUUCUUAUUUAUGAUAUGAUUCUGAAUCAUUGUCUAAAUAUUUUAAUCGAUAUAGAACGUUGAACACACAUUUUCGUCAAUUGGAUAAUAUAUGUCCGUUUUUAAAAUUUCGAAUCACAGUAUAUGCAGAAAAAAAAUUGAUUUUUUUUUUACUUUAUGUAUUAUAUGAUGAUUCAAAACAGUUAAAAACAAAUCAAACAAAGGUGAUAGGAGAAUCAUAAUUAUAAAUCUUAAUCAAAUCUUCUAAAAAUCUAAAUUAUUAAAUAUGGAAUAUCCAGUGUAUGAGUUGGGUUAAAUAUAACCCGACCCAACAAAUUUUUUGUGAAGGAAUUUUUAAAAUGGGUCGGAUAUCCGAUAUACCCGAAAGAUUUUUUACCCACCCGUCACAAAAAGUGCUGCGAUUAUACUAGUAUAGAUUUGCAGAAUGAGUUAUAGGCGAAAAAGGCAAAUUUGCGUUUUGUCAAACAUCGUAGAUAAUUUUUUUUUAUUAGUAAACUUUUUGCAUAGUCGCAUUAGAAAAUGUCAUUCAAUUUAAUAAACUUAUAAAAAAUAUAAUUGUUGUUAAAAUAUUAUAACAACAAAAAUAAAAAUAAACCUCUUCAUAAACAUUAUUAAUAGAUUUUAAAUUUGAAUUAACAAGAAAAAAAAAUUGAAGUUUAUAGUUUCUCACAAGUGAAGAAGACUGUUAAGAGUAUAUUUGGUUAAAAGGAGUUUGACUUGUGAAAAUUCCAUUACUUUUUUUGGUUAACAAUUUCAAUUUUGUUUUCGUAAAGAGGAAAAAAAACUGCACCAACCAGACAAAAGCGACACACGGCUUUUCUCUUCAUCAUCAUUCAUCAUUCACCAACCCACCACCUCCAACAACAAUAACUCCACUCAAAAUUCACAGCUCUACAAGAGUCACCUAGACAAGUCAAGAGACAGAGAAAGUUCUGACUUCUGACAGAGAUUCAUGGCGGAAGCUUGCGGAGUGAGAAGGAUGAAGCUGGGAAGCCAAGGCCUUGAGGUAUCGGCGCAAGGCCUCGGUUGCAUGGGCCUCUCUGCUUUCUACGGUGCUCCCAAGCCGGAAACUGACGCCAUCGCUCUCAUCCACCACGCUAUUCACUCCGGUGUCACUUUCCUUGACACCUCUGACAUCUAUGGUCCUGAAACCAACGAGGUUCUCCUCGGAAAGGUUCGAUUUUUAUGAUUCCCGAUCUUCGAUUUGAUCUUCGGUUUUAAAAUUUUGUUCUCUUUUGGGCAACAAAGAACGAUUUAGAGAUGGGAAUUGGCCUUUGAUUUCUUUGAGCUUCAUAGCUGUAGAAUUGAUUUCAAAGUUUGGAUUUUUUUCAGGCUCUGAAAGAUGGAGUUAGAGAAAAAGUGGAACUUGCAACCAAAUUUGGGAUCAGUUAUGCAGAGGGAAAGAGAGAGGUGAGAGGAGAUCCUGAGUAUGUAAGGGCUGCUUGUGAGGCUAGUUUAAAGAGGCUAGAUAUUGCCUGUAUUGAUCUUUAUUAUCAGCACCGUGUCGAUACUCGUGUUCCUAUCGAAAUCACUGUAAGCUUCCUCUUGCAAAUCCUCCUUCAUGCUAUAGUUUCAAAGUUUACAAUUUGGUUAGUCUUAGUCUUUUACUCUUGUCCCUACCGAAAUCACUGUAAGCCCUCUUGCCAAUCCUACUUAAUGGAUUUGAAACUUUCAAAUGAAAUGGAAGUUAUAUAGUUCACUACUUCAAGAGAAAUCUCAGAGAGCUUCACAUCUUGGCUUGGUUUAUCGGACUAAUAGGGACAAAGAAAAUAGAUUGGAGAUGAUGUUUUCUGCUUAGGUUAUUACUCUUUCGAAGUGGCUAGCUUAUUCACAAAGAACAAUGUCUGGUGUAAUGAUCUUUAACUGAGAGAUUUUGAGGCUUUCUUAUCUACUUUCACCUAUAAGUACUCUCCUAAGCCAGCUUGUGAAGAUAGGGUGCCCUUUGGACCUAUUAGCCAUUCACUUUUUCCUCUCCUUUCCAAUGUGGUAUGUUUGGUGAUAAUUAGUCCCUCAGUACCAUCUCCUCUAAGGAUUUUUCGUAUGAAUAGACUCUGUUAGGGUCGGUUCUGAGCUCUACUUCCUGACCUUCAUAGAAAGCCGAAAUCUUUUCCUGAACUUAACCAUUUUUUUGUCUGUCAAUUCCAAGAUGGGAGAACUGAAGAAGCUGGUUGAAGAGGGUAAAAUAAAGUACAUUGGUUUGUCUGAAGCCUCUGCUUCAACUAUCAGAAGAGCGCAUGCUGUUCACCCAAUUACUGCUGUGCAGUUAGAAUGGUCCUUGUGGACGAGAGAUGUGGAAGAAGAAAUCAUUCCGACCUGCAGGUAUUCAGGUUUCAUCCUACUUUCCUGGUGCAAUAUCUAUCAAUCAUGCAAAUUCAUAUUCUCUUUCCUUCUUCAGGGAACUUGGGAUUGGGAUUGUUGCUUACAGUCCUCUAGGACGAGGUUUCUUCGCAUCUGGACCCAAGCUUGUUGAGAACCUAGAAAAGGAUGACUUCAGAAAGGCAAGUACAUAGUCUUUGUGUAUGACUUGUUUGAUUGAUGAACCUUACAUAACCUGUGGAUAAAUCAAAUGACUUUAUACAAACUCAAUUAUUGCAGGCUCUACCAAGAUUCCUAGAGAAAAACUUAGACCACAACAAGAUUGUUUAUGAGAAGGUUUGUGCAAUCUCGGAAAAGAAAGGAUGCACUCCUGCACAGUUAGCUCUGGCAUGGGUUCACCACCAGGGAGAUGAUGUUUGUCCCAUCCCAGGAACCACUAAGAUCGAAAACCUCAACCAGAACAUUGGAGCUUUAUCAGUGAAACUCACUCCCGAAGAGAUGACUGAGCUUGAGGCCAUUGCCCAACC
rnacentral:lncRNA from 1 species